UACGAAGGGGGCUAGCGUUGCUCGGAAUUACUGGGCGUAAAGGGCGCGUAGGCGGACAGUUUAGUCAGAGGUGAAAGCCCAGGGCUCAACCUUGGAAUUGCCUUUGAUACUGGCUGUCUUGAGUUCGGGAGAGGUGAGUGGAAUGCCGAGUGUAGAGGUGAAAUGCGCAGAUAUCGGGAGGAACACCAAUGGCGAAGGCAGCUCGCUGGGACGGUACUGACGCUGAGACGCGAAAGCGUGGGGAGCAAACAGG
rnacentral:rRNA from 1 species